AUGCGCGUGGCAGUGUUGCUGCCGGGUCCUGACGCCAGCAGCGUGAGCCUGCGUAGUAGGCACCGCCCCUCUGUCCGCGAGUCUAGAGAGCAGGGCGCGGAGGCGCAGGGUGGGGCUCGGGUGGGCAGGGACGGGCGGGGUCGGUGCCCGCGAUCCCUGCGAUCGUCCGGAGAUGAUGGUGAAGACCUGAGAUUUAGGCCUGCGCGGCGGAGGACGAUGCCGGUCCAGGUCUUCACGGGAGGACGCCGGCCAGGGCCUUCAGGCGUUCGCGUGUCUUGAAGAGGCGCGUCCCCGAGGAUGUGCGUGCCCGUGAGAGCAUGCGCGUGCCCGCGCCGCGCGGGUCCCACAGGAGCCUGGGCAGCCCCGCCGCCGCAUUUCCAUCCUGCGGCCGUGUUUCCACCCGGCUGGGCGCCUAGCCCGGGGUGCCUGCACUCUCGGGCAUCACUGCGCGCUCACACUCAGCAUUCAGGCACGAGCAGCUUCUCUUUAUAAGAACAGUUUGGAAUCUUGUCAGAUCUUUCUAGAAGGUUGAAAUGCCCUGGAAGAGCAGCGUGAAUAGUUUUUUCCAAUUAGGAAAAAAGAAUGUGGGGCGGCUGGAGGGGGAGAGGCAGGCGUGGCCGAGAAGGCCAGGUGAUUCCGGGAGCCGCAGCCCCUGUGCCUCAGUUUCCUCCCAGAAACAUGGAGGUGGCGGUGAGCUCUACAGGAUUUCUAUGAGAACAAAUGAGUUAGCGUGUGCAAAACAUUUAAAACAGCGUCUGGUGUGUAGCAAGCAAAUAUGAGUAUUAGUCUUUUCCUUGUUAAAAAUGUGUGCAUCUACAUUUGGUGCACAUUACAGGAAAUGUAUAGUAUGGAUUCGUAUUUUGGAAAAGUAAUUUUAGAAGUUAUUUCUGAUGUGCUUAUUAUAAUGUUUCUUGACCACGUUUUUAAAUAAUGUGAAGGCAAUGAAGUAGGCAAUACUGCUUGCACAUCCCCAAUUUAAACACCUGUCUGUCCCUCCCUCGCUCUCCUUUUUCUUCCUUUCCCUCUCUCUCUAUUCCUUCCUUCAUUCCUUUCAAGGUUGCAGAUUAUUCCGUUAUAUAAAUGUAUCAAUUUAUUCGAAUAGUCUCUAUGACGUCUACGAUGGGCUUUAGAAUGUUUGCAAUAGUUUGCCAUUAUAAAUAAUGCUCAGGAGCUCUGUGAUUUAACUUGUGAAGGUGUAUUUACAAAUAAAUCUAUGAUUGGAUUGUUGUGUAAACCAAAAA